rnacentral:rRNA from 1 species
AGAGUUUGAUCCUGGCUCAGAAUCAACGCUGGCGGCGUGCCUAACACAUGCAAGUCGAACGAGAAAGGGACUUCGGUCCUGAGUACAGUGGCGCACGGGUGAGUAACACGUGACUAACCUACCCUGGAGUGGGGAAUAACUGAGGGAAACCUUAGCUAAUACCGCAUAAUACCUACGGGUCAAAGGAGCAAUUCGCUUCAGGAGGGGGUCGCGGCCGAUUAGUUAGUUGGCGGGGUAAUGGCCCACCAAGACAGUGAUCGGUAUCCGGCCCGAGAGGGCGCACGGACACACUGGAACUGAAACACGGUCCAGACUCCUACGGGAGGCAGCAGUGGGGAAUUUUGCGCAAUGGGGGAAACCCUGUCGCAGCAACGCCGCGUGGAGGAUGAAAUCCCUUGGGAUGUAAACUCCUUUCGAUCGGGACGAUUAUGACGGUACCGGAAGAAGAAGCCCCGGCUAACUUCGUGCCAGCAGCCGCGGUAAUACGAGGGGGGCAAGCGUUGUUCGGAAUUAUUGGGCGUAAAGGGUGUGUAGGCGGUUUGGUAAGUCGUGUGUGAAAUCUUCGGGCUCAACCCGAAGUCUGCACACGAAACUGCCGGGCUUGAGUAUGGGAGAGGUGAGUGGAAUUCCUGGUGUAGCGGUGAAAUGCGUAGAUAUCAGGAGGGACACCUGUGGCGAAAGCGGCUCACUGGACCAUUACUGACGCUGAAACACGAAAGCUAGGGGAGCAAACAGGAUUAGAUACCCUGGUAGUCCUAGCCCUAAACGAUGACUGCUUGGUGUGGCGGGUACCCAAUCCCGCCGUGCCGUAGCUAACGCGUUAAGCAGUCCGCCUGGGGAGUACGGUCGCAAGGCUGAAACUCAAAGGAAUUGACGGGGGCCCGCACAAGCG